AAGCCGUGGUAUGGGCACUCUCUCUGCAGAUCCUUGAACCUUUCCCAUACCUCGAACAAACUCUCAUCUACUUGUUGUCUAAUAGAAAUGAUCUGGCCCCUCAGGCG
rfam:Spinacia oleracea cultivar SynViroflay scaffold3729.con0001.1, whole genome shotgun sequence.